rnacentral:rRNA from 1 species
UACCAGCACCCCGAGUGGUCGGGACGAUUAUUGGGCCUAAAGCAUCCGUAGCUUGUUCUGCAAGUCUUCCGUUAAAUCCACCUGCUCAACAGAUGGGCUGCGGGGGAUACUACAGGGCUAGGAGGCGGGAGAGGCAAGCGGUACUCAGUGGGUAGGGGUAAAAUCCACUGAUCCACUGAAGACCACCAGUGGCGAAGGCGGCUUGCCAGAACGCGCUCGACGGUGAGGGAUGAAAGCUGGGGGAG